CCCUUUCCAUAAUUCCACACUGUGAAUUUGCUUCCCAAACCAAGAGUGGGAUACAAUUAGCUGGGGAGUGCAACUCAUCCCUCAAUCACUGAUCUGAGUAUGGAUAUCAAAAGAAACAUUUCCUGAAGCAAGACGCUGAGCUGGAAGCUUCCACGGUUGUGCCUAUACUGUGGCAGUCCUGCGCGAACCUGUCCGGCCCCAUGGAAACCUGCAGGGCUGAGGUCUCCCAGGGCAAAUGGGGCUGCAGGAUGCUCACUACACCCCCAGAAACAGGAGAAGGGACAAGGACACAGGACUGUCUGUGAGCAACACUGACUUUCGGCACAGGAGAGAUCCUUUGCCCCUCCUCACUCCAGAAUAUUGCUAAGAACAUAAUUGAUCUCUCUCCUUCUCAUUCACUCACAUCUCCCAAAACAAAGGAAGAGAGACCCAUUCAACUGAUCAGAGCCUGACUUUCCAUUGCUGA
rnacentral:lncRNA from 10 species